rnacentral:rRNA from 1 species
UAGGGAAUCUUCGGCAAUGGGGGGAACCCUGACCGAGCAACGCCGCGUGAGUGAAGAAGGUUUUCGGAUCGUAAAGCUCUGUUGUUAAGGAAGAACGAGUGUGAGAAUGGAAAGUUCAUGCUGUGACGGUACUUAACCAGAAAGGGACGGCUAACUACGUGCCAGCAGCCGCGGUAAUACGUAGGUCCCGAGCGUUGUCCGGAUUUAUUGGGCGUAAAGCGAGCGCAGGCGGUUAGAAAAGUCUGAAGUGAAAGGCAGUGGCUCAACCAUUGUAGGCUUUGGAAACUGUUUAGCUUGAGUGCAGAAGGGGAGAGUGGAAUUCAAUGUGUAGCGGUGAAAUGCGUAGAUAUAUGGAGGAACACCGGUGGCGAAAGCGGCUCUCUGGUCUGUAACUGACGCUGAGGAUCGAAAGCGUGGGGAGCGAACAGG